CAGUAGCCGCGGGAACACGUAGGUGGCAAGCGUUGUCCGGAAUUAUUGGGCGUAAAGGGCUCGCAGGCGGUUUCUUAAGUCUGAUGUGAAAGCCCCCGGCUCAACCGGGGAGGGUCAUUGGAAACUGGGAAACUUGAGUGCAGAAGAGGAGAGUGGAAUUCCACGCGUAGCGGUGAAAUGCGUAGAGAUGUGGAGGAACACCAGUGGCGAAGGCGACUCUCUGGUCUGUAACUGACGCUGAGGAGCGAAAGCGUGGGGAGCGAACAGGAUUAGAGACCCGUGUAGUCCCUGUCUCUUAUAA
rnacentral:rRNA from 1 species